rnacentral:rRNA from 1 species
UACAGAGGUCUCGAGCGUUGUUCGGAUUCAUUGGGCGUAAAGGGUGCGUAGGUGGCGCUGUAAGUCGGGCGUGAAAUCCUGAGGCUUAACCUCGGAACUGCAUUCGAUACUGCGGCGCUUGAGGACUGGAGAGGAGACUGGAAUUCAUGGUGUAGCAGUGAAAUGCGUAGAGAUCAUGAGGAAGACCAGUGGCGAAGGCGGGUCUCUGGGCUGACACUGACGCUCAUGCACGAAAGCGUGGGGAGCAAACAGG